rnacentral:rRNA from 1 species
GUAGUCCACGCCCUAAACUAUGUCAACUGGUUGUCGGGGAAGCAAUUCCUUGGUAACGAAGCUAACGCGUGAAGUUGACCGCCUGGGGAGUACGGCCGCAAGGUUAAAACUCAAAGGAAUUGACGGGGACCCGCACAAGCGGUGGAUUAUGUGGAUUAAUUCGAUGCAACGCGAAAAACCUUACCUACCCUUGACAUGUACGGAACCUCGCAGAGAUGUGAGGGUGCCCGAAAGGGAACCGUAACACAGGUGCUGCAUGGCUGUCGUCAGCUCGUGUUGUGAGAUGUUGGGUUAAGUCCCGCAACGAGCGCAACCCCUGUCGCUAGUUACCAUCAUUCAGUUGGGCACUCUAGCGAGACCGCUGGGCUAUAAGCCAGAGGAAGGUGGGGAUGACGUCAAGUCCUCAUGGCCUUUAUGUCUGGGGCUACACACGUGCUACAAUGGGAGGCACAAAGCGCAGCAAGCUCGCGAGAGCAAGCAAAUCGCAAAAAAUCUCUCACAGUUCGGAUUGAAGUCUGCAACUCGACUUCAUGAAGCUGGAAUCGCUAGUAAUCGCGGAUCAGCACGCCGCGGUGAAUA